rnacentral:tRNA from 1 species
GGUCGCAUGGCUCAGAUGCCAAAGCACCUGCAUAGUAAGAAGGAGAUCAUGAGUUCGACUCUCGUUGGGACCU